GACGAACGCUGGCGGCGUGCCUAACACAUGCAAGUCGAACGGGACUUGAGGGGCUUGCUCCUUAAGUUUAGUGGCGAACGGGUGAGUAACGCGUGAGGAACCUACCUUCCAGUGGGGGACAACAGUUGGAAACGACUGCUAAUACCGCAUGAUGCAGCGAGACCGCAUGGUUUUGCUGUCAAAGCUUUAUGUGCUGGAAGAUGGCCUCGCGUCUGAUUAGCUAGUUGGUGGGGUAACGGCUCACCAAGGCGACGAUCAGUAGCCGGUCUGGGAGGAUGAACGGCCAAAUUGGGACUGAGAUACGGCCCAGACUCCUACGGGAGGCAGCAGUGGGGAAUAUUGGGCAAUGGGGGAAACCCUGACCCAGCAACGCCGCGUGAAGGAAGAAGGCCUUCGGGUUGUAAACUUCUUUUAGCAGGGACGAAGGACGUGACGGUACCUGCAGAAAAAGCAACGGCUAACUACGUGCCAGCCGCCGCCGUAACAC
rnacentral:rRNA from 1 species